rnacentral:tRNA from 1 species
GCCGGGAUUCCCUAGCCUGGUAAGGGGCAGGCCUGGAGAGCCUGUGGCCCGUUUGGGCCUCGUGGGUUCGAAUCCCACUCCCGGCG